GUGCUUGCUCUGGCAGUACAUAUACUAAAAUUGGAAUGAUACAGAGAAGAUUAGCAUGGCCUAUGCACAAGGAUGAUAUGCAAAUUCUUGAAGCAUUCCAUAUUAAA
ensembl:snRNA U6 U6 spliceosomal RNA